rnacentral:tRNA from 1 species
GCCCUGCAUGAGGGAUAGCUCAGUCGGUAAAGCAUGAGACUCUUGAUCUCAGGGUUGUGGGCUCGAGCCCCAUGUUGGGCA